rnacentral:misc_RNA from 1 species
UUGAAUCCUCAGGGAUGUCGCUGGCCAGCCCCAAAAGGGUUGGCAUGUGCACUCCGCCUUCAACCCACCUGUGCACUUAUCGUAGGUCAAUAGAGGGGAAACCCCUUUGGCCUAUGCUUUUUACACACACUAUUAGUAUCAGAAUGUAACACAGUAGACCGUCAGGUCGAAAAUAAACAAUA